UUGUUUUAAGACCUCAUGGAGUUCUGCAAUGUCAUGGAAUGAGACUGCUGUCAAGGAUCUGAAGGCAAACUGCAGCCAUUUUGCUAAGAAUUUGCUUAUAACAGGUGCUGGCCUUACAUCUUCUGUGUAAGACUGACAUGAUCAUUUUAUUCUGCAAAUGCCUGGAAUAGAAGAGGGAACAUUCCAUGUACAGUCUGGUCAGGUUAUUGAGUUUAUGAACCUUGGCGUUCACCGGAAUGAUGACUGCAGAGUCUAUGGAUUAUACGUCUAAUGCUGAAUAUGAAUAGCUUUUCUACUUUAGAAAUGAGGAUUGAACCUGACUGCUGACCCACCGGCUAUUAAAUGACCUAAAGACUUUCCAAUUGCAAUUGCCUUCUCUGCUGCAGGCCCAGCUAGUAUCAUCCCAGCAUAACCUUCACAGUUGGAGUAUUAAUACCAAGAUUCUUAUGAUUAUUACUCUAGGUUAGUUCUGCAGUAUCAUGUGCAUG